AGCUUUGCGCAGAGGCAGUGUCAUAGCCAAUGAGGUACUACCGAGGCGUGACUAUUGCUAGUUGAAAACUAUAUGAAAUGACUUUGCAAGCCAAUCAAUGGCACACCAUCUUCAGA
rnacentral:snRNA from 1 species